UACAGAGGUCUCAAGCGUUGUUCGGAUUCAUUGGGCGUAAAGGGUGCGUAGGCGGCGCGGUAGGUCGGGUGUGAAAUCUCGGAGCUUAACUCCGAAACUGCAUUCGAUACUGCCGUGCUUGAGGACUGGAGAGGAGACUGGAAUUUACGGUGUAGCGGUGAAAUGCGUAGAUAUCGUAAGGAAGACCAGUGGCGAAGGCGGGUCUCUGGACAGUUCCUGACGCUGAGGCACGAAGGCCAGGGGAGCAAACGGG
rnacentral:rRNA from 1 species